GUAGAAUUUUAUUCUCUUGUUUCUAACCAAUAGUUUUUUAGAGUUUUAAACUGUAGAUUAAGACAGCUGUAGAGCACUAAAUAGUAUUUCAGUAGAGUGGUAGCCUAAGCUUUGCUAUCUUAUACUGGCAAUAUUCUGACCAAAUCAAUUGUUAACCUCUCCCUUCUCUGCAGCAAAAAGCACAAAUGUUUAUGACAAAAACACUCGUAGAAAUCCUCAAAUUCCUGUACAAAAUUCAAAAAGACAAUCCUCUAAAGAAGGAUGAAUGUGAAGCAAA